rnacentral:rRNA from 1 species
UACGAAGGGUGCAAGCGUUAAUCGGAAUUACUGGGCGUAAAGCGUGCGUAGACGGCCUGUUAAGUCGGAUGUGAAAGCCCCGGGCUCAACCUGGGAAUGGCAUCCGAUACUGAUGGGCUAGAGUGCGGUAGAGGAGAGCGGAAUUCCCGGUGUAGCGGUGAAAUGCGUAGAGAUCGGGAGGAACAUCCGUGGCGAAGGCGGCUCUCUGGACCAGCACUGACGUUGAGGCACGAAAGCGUGGGGAGCAAACAGG